AGAAGACAUGGUUUAGAGUAAGGGGGAAGCUGGGGAAGACGUUGAAGCUAGUGCUCCUGAUUCGGAGAAUCAGUUGUUGUCCGCUUCCAGUAGUGUAGGGGAGGGUUCGGACGGGGAUAGUUCGGAGACAGAGAGUAGUGAAGGGGGAUCUGAAAGCGGAGGGGAAUCCUCGAGCGAGAAUGUUCCCAUAAAUGAGUUGUCUCGUAGGAGGGCUUAUGUCGUGGGUUUCAAACAAAAAGUGGGGGAGAUGUCUGUAAAAAAGGGAAAGGAGAAAGUGGAGGAGGUAGAAAUUCCAGUUAGAAAGAAAGCUAAGGCGCUGAAAGUUUUGGUCCGUAGUCGUUUGGGGGAUGCUUCGGGAUGGUUGGAUUGUGCGGAGAAGUUUGUGCUAAGUCUAGCAAGGUUUCUCAGGGAGGAGUAUUUCUAGUCAUAUGGAGUGGCUUGUUAUUAUGAGCCUCAAUGGGAUGUAGUUGCAGGUGACUUUUUGAGCGAGGAGUUGGGAAAGCUGCAACAUAUAAACAUGUUGUGCAAUUUUGAUCCAACUUAUUUCCUAGUGAUAAAAGCGGCUUUUCAGAUAUCCGAGGCUUAUGAGGCGAGGUUGCCGGAAGGGGGUGAUAUGAUAUAUCAUUAAGGUGGAGAUACGUGGGUUGGGAUUCCCUUGAAACACUUUAGGGUAGUCUUACGGUUGCCUUUACAUAGGUUCAUUCAUACACUGUUUGUUAAUAUGAGGUUAGCUUUGGGGCAGUUAGGGCCGAAUUCUAUUCGGAAGAUAUGUGCUUUUAUAGCUAGGUAUAAAGAGUUGAGUUUGGAGCCGACUUUGUCUUUGUUUUGAUCUCUACAUCAGUUUCAAGCAUCUCGUGAUUACUAUCCACUUUUCAAACUACAGUGGGUGAGUAAGAGUUUGGGGGGAAUUUUAGUGGAGUUUGUGCUGUUC
rnacentral:lncRNA from 1 species